rnacentral:miRNA from 2 species
CGUCACUCCGCAUUUACAUUGCU